UAUGUAGAGUAAGGGGACGUUAUGCAGAGGUGGGACGCAGAGUAAGGGGACGCAGUGCAGAGUAAGGGGACAAGUAUGCAGAGUAAGGGGGCGUAUGUGAGUAAGGGACGCAGUGUGAGUAUGGGGGUGUUAUGUAGAGUAGUAAGGUUAGUAGAGUAAGGGGACGCAGGAGUAAGGGGACGUUAUGCAGAGUAAGGGGGACGUUAUGCGGAGUAAGGGGACGUUAUACGGAGUAAGGGGACGUUAUACGGAGUAAGGGGACGUUAUACAGAGUAAGGGAGUGUUAUACAGAGUAAGGGAGUGUUAUACAGAGUAAGGGGACGUUAUACGGAGUAAGGGGACGUUAUACGGAGUAAGGGGACGUUAUACGGAGUAAGGGGACGUUAUACAGAGUAAGGGGACGUUAUACAGAGUAAGGGAGUGUUAUACAGAGUAAGGUGGGGUGUUAUACAGAGUAAGGGGACGUUAUACAGAGUAAGGGGGAUGUUAUACAGAGUAAGGGGGACGUUAUACAGAGUAAAGGAGUGUUAUACACAGUAAGCGGACGUUAUACAGAGUAAGGGGGUGUUAUACAGAGUAAAGGGGUCGUUAUACGGAGUAAGGGGACGUUAUACGGAGUAAGGGGACGUUAUACGGAGUAAGGGGACGUUAUACGGAGUAAGGGGGGUGUUAUACGGAGUAAGGGAGUGUUAUACAGAGUAAGGGAGUGUUAUUCAGAGUAAGGUGGGGUGUUAUACACAGUAAGGGGACGUUAUACAGAGUAAGGGGGUGUUAUAAAGAGUAAGGGGGUGUUAUACAGAGUAAGGGAGUGUUAUAAAGAGUAAGGGGGUGUUAUAAAGAGUAAGGGGGUGUUAUAAAGAGUAAGGGAGUGUUAUACAGAGUAAGGGGGGUGUUAUACAGAGUAAGGGGGUGUUAUAAAGAGUAAGGGGGUGUUAUAAAGAGUAAGGGGGGUGUUAUAGGAGGGAGUCUCACCAUGAAAUGACAGUCUGGUUAACUCACUCUCUGCUGCCUGUCUCUCUCUCUGUGUCUGACCUGUGGGCUGUCUCUGUGAGUGUUUCCUCUGUCAGUCUCCCUCCCCCAGCAGCUCACUCACCCUCCCAGUCUGUGCUCCUCCCUGCAUUCC